GCGCCUAAGAGGAAGGAGUGGGGUCCUUUCGACAGCCCUCCCCCCCUGUAGAUAAUGGACUCGCCCAAGAUUCACUCAGCAGGGCGGAGGGAGGUGGAAUGGUAUGGUCUUUCGGGGGGGGGGGCGGGAGUGGCCUAGAAAUCCCCUCACGAAUCUCUCUCCCAACGGUCCACUCAGGGGCGGAAGUGGGGGGUUCUUUAUGAGGGAAAGACAAUAGCCAGCGAGAGCCACGCCGCUGUGUUUCCCCCAGUUCUCUUUGAACCAGGGCCUAUUGAUUGAAGGCAACUGGCCCUUAGGGAGUGGGAUAUGUUUCCCCCAGUUCUCCUAUUGGGAAGGAGGACCAGGGCUAUUGACUGAAGGUAAUUUUGGCCCUUAUGGAGUGGGGUAUAUGGGGUUCCUUGGGGGGAAGGGUGUCCCACUUUCUCUAGCGUGGCCAUUAGCGUCUCUUGGGAUUGCUUUUCUUUGUGUCUGCUUCCCUCCCCCAAUCCCAGCAGCCCUUUAUUAUUAUUGUUUGUGUACGGAUUGUAUGUUUGGAGAGGAUAUGGCCCAUUUCCUGGCCUGAUUCGUCCCAUCUUCUGUAUCUUCAGUACACAAAAGUGGACAUGCAACUGUUAAAGCUAAAGCCUUGUGGACUUAAAACGUGCUUGGCCCACCAUCCUUAUUUCUCCUUGAAGAUCCUUUUAACUAGGGCCAAUGGUUGGGAACCACGGGUCUAGGCAUUGCCCAAAGUAAUGGAUCUUGCAUAAAAGAAGUCAAAGAAAAAUCUACUGAGAAUAACUACUUUUUGACUUGGCCUUCUUAUGAUUGAGUCACGCAAAAUUGUUUUUCCUCCUUGUUGCUGAAUUAUGCGUACAAGGGGCAAAAAUAAAAAUUAAACGGGUUUAAUUUUAAAUGAA